rnacentral:lncRNA from 1 species
CGGAGCCGUCCCCGACGCCACCUCCCGUCUCCUCCGCCGCAGUUUCCUCCGCCGCUGUCGGGGGUGCAGAGCUGAGGGGCUCGGGCAGGCGCGCCGCGCAGCUCCUCUCCAGUCGCCCGCCUCGCCGUCCUCCCCACCGAGGGCUCGCCCGGGCGCCCCUCCUCAGCCGCGCCGGGUCUCCUCAGCGCAGCGCCGCGGCCUGCGCUACCUGCGGCCGGCUGGCAACAGAGGCAACGCACACUCGCGGCGGGGCGGGAGGCUCGCAGCCCCUCGGGCGGGCUCGGCGAGGCCCGGCCGCGUGCGGCGGUUUCUGGGGGAGGGGGCUCGGGUGAUUCAGCGCCCGGUCAGGCGGAAGCGGCCGC